GGAAGCAAAAGUCGUAACAAGGUCUCCGUUGGUGAACCAGCGGAGGGAUCAUUAUCGAGUUUAUAACUCCCAAACCCUAUGUGAACUUACCACUUGUUGCUUCGGCGCGUGCUUCGGCGCCGCCGAGGACACUUAAACUCUUUGUUUUUAUAAGCAUUUCUGAGUGGCCGAAAGGCAAAAUACAAAUGAAUCAAAACUUUCAACAACGGAUCUCUUGGUUCUG
rnacentral:misc_RNA from 1 species